CCUACGGGAGGCAGCAGUAGGGAAUAUUUCUCAAUGGGGGAAACCCUGAAGCAGCAACGCCGCGUGGAGGAUGAAGGUUUUCGGAUUGUAAACUCCUUUUGUUAGAGAAGAAAAUGACGGUAUCUAACGAAUAAGCACCGGCUAACUCCGGGCCAGCAGCCGCGGUAAUACGGAGGCUGCAAGCGUUACUCGGAAUCACUGGGCGUAAAGAGUGCGUAGGCGGGGUAGCAAGUCAGAUGUGAAAGCCAAUGGCUCAACCAGAGAACUGCAUUUGAUACUGUUAGUCUAGAGUAUGGGAGAGGGAGGUGGAAUUCUUGGUGUAGGGGUAAAAUGCGUAGAGAUCGAGAGGAACACUCAUGGCGAAGGCGAGCUGCUAGAACAUAACUGACGCUGAUGCGCGAAGGCGUGGGGAGCGAACGGGAUUAGAUACCCGAGUAGUC
rnacentral:rRNA from 1 species